rnacentral:lncRNA from 1 species
CAAAACAGCUUUGAAUGGAAUUUCCAAACUAAAAUACAUAAAGGGGGUAACAUGGUGCACUGCAAUAAAUGUAACAAGGAAACAGAAGCAACAAGUAAAAGUGAGAUGGUGGAAGCUCCUCAGAUUCUGAUUCUACUCCUCAAGAGAUUCAGCACAAAGUCACUUGUUGAAACCCACCACUGUGUGGAAGUGCCACCUGAAUUACAGUUAAAGGCAGGGAACCUUGUUAUUCAUUACAUGUGAUUUAUAUCUGAAUGGUGUUUCUUUUAGUUGCUUUGAAAAUCUUUUCAUUUAUCUGACUGUGUUCUUCAUUGUAGAAAAAGACGUUCAAACUGUAUGGGAUGGUCAAUCUCAUAGGCAGUCCACAGGGUGGACAUCACACUGCCACCAUCCUGUCCACUGAGGACAACAACUGGUAUGAGUUUAAUGAUGAACAUGUCAACAAGGUUGAAGAACAGCUGUUUGCAAAAUCCAUGACCUACAACUCCAAAGCUGUAUAUCUUCUCAUGUACAGAGCCACAGAGUCUCAGAUGCCCAGUGAGAAUAGUGAGCAGGAUAAAUCGACACAAGAAGAAAAGAAUCAAGUAGCAGUGGACACUAUGGAUGAAAAGAUUAGGAACAUAGAGCAGGAGCAUUACAAUGAGAUACAGUCAAAAACAGUUGUUCAGCCUGACAGAUCUCAUUAUGGCCUAUAUAAUCAGGGAGCCACAUGUUACCUCAACAGUGUCCUGCAAGUUCUCUUCAUGACAACUGAGUUCCACAACAGGUUGGAUCCACGAUCAAACACAGAUCUUCAGCUCAGAAAAAUCUUUGAAGACCUGAAGAAAAAAACAUGCAGAACAGAAAACACCACAACAACAUUUGGGAUUGAAAAUGUGCAUAAACAAUGUGAUGCAGCUGAUUGUCUGGAGAUGAUUUUAAAUGAGGUCAGCCCAAAGGCCUCUGAGGUGAGCAGUCAAAAAAAAAACUACUAUCUUAUUGUGAGGAGACAAAUGAGAAUGAUGUGCAAUGAUAGACAUUGUUAUGCAAAGGUCUUCAAGGGAGAGAUGACUUACGUCACACAAUGCCCAGAAGGCCACAUCAUCAAUGAAGAGACAAAUCCAUUCUGGACUCUCCCUCUGUCACUGAAAGAUACUGCUGAUACAACCUACAGUGUGGUGAGCAGACAAUGUUCAGAGUUCUUGUUCAGUGUUUCAAUGUGA